CCUAAUACAUGCAAGUCGAGCGAAGUUUUUCUGGUGUUUGCGCUAGAAAAACUGACCGGCGAACGGGUGAGUAACACGUAAAGAAGCCUGCCUCAUAGACUGGGACAACUAUUGCAAACGAUAGCUAAGACCGGAUAACGGCAUUAACUGCAUGGUUGAUGUUUGAAAGUUGGUUUUGCUAACAAUAUGAUAUGGCUUUGCGGUGCAUUAGCUAGUUGGAGGGGUAAAGGCCUACCAAGGCGACAAUGCAUAUCCGACCUGAAAGGGUGAUCGGCCACACUGGAACUGACACACAGUCCAAACUCCUACGGGAGGCAGCAAUAUGGAAUCUUCCGCAAUGGGCGAAAGCCUGACCGACCAACGCCGCGUGAGUGAAUAAGGAUUUCGGUUCUUAAAGCUCUGUUGUUAGGGAAGAAUGAUUAUGUAGUAACUAUACAUAGUAAAGACGGCACCUAACCACAAAGCCACGGCUAACUACGUGCCACCAGCCGCGGUAAUACGUACGUGGCAAGCGUUGUCCGGAAUUAUUGGACGUAAAGCGCGCGCACGUGGUUUAAUAACUCUGAUGUGAAAGCCCACGGCUCAACCGUGGAGGGUCAUUGGAAACUGUUAAACUUGAAUGCAAGCUACAAAAGUGGAAUUCCUAGUGUAACAGUGAAAUGCGAACAGAUUAGGAGGAACACCAGUGGCGAAGGCGGCUUUUAUGCCUGUAACUGACACUGAGACGAGAAAGCGUGUGGAGCAAACAGGAUUAGAUACCCUGGUAGUGUCACGCCGUAAACGAUGAGUGAUAAGUGUUGGUGUCAUAAGAGAUCAUUGGUGCAGCUAACGCAUUAAGCAGUCCGCCUGGGGAGUACGACGGCAAGGUUGAUACUCAAAGGAAUAGACGGGGACCCGCACAACCGGUGGAGCAUGUGGUUUAAUUAGAAGCAACGAGAAGAACCUUAUCAAGUCUUGACAUCCUGUGAGAACACAAGAGAUUGAGUUGUUGUGACCUUUGGUUAGACACAGAUACAGGUGGUGCAUGGUUGUCGUCAGCUCGUGUCGUGAGAUGUUGGGUUAAGUCCCGCAACGAGCGCAACCCUUAUAUCUAGUUGCCAGCAGUAAGAUGGGGACUGUAGAUAGACUGCCAGUGAUAAACUGGAGGAAGGUGGGGAUGACGUCAAAUCAUCAUCCCCAUUAUGACUUGGGCUACACACGUGAUACAAUGGAUAAGAACAAAGAGAAGCGAGCUCGCGAGAGUAAGCAAACCUCACAAAACUAUUUUCAGUUCGGAUUGUAGUAUUCAACUCGACUACAUGAAGCUGGAAUCGAUAGUAAUCUCGAAUCAGAAUGUCGCGGUGAAUACGUUCCCGGGUUUUGCACACACCGCCCGUCACACCAAGAGAGUUUCUAACACCCGAAGACGGUGGCCUAACCUUUUAGGAGGGAGCCGGUCACGGUGGGACAGAUGAUUGGGGUGAAGUC
rnacentral:rRNA from 1 species